CUUGGAUCUUGUCACACUGCCUUCUCUGAGGGGCUGGGGAGAGAAGCGGAAGCCAGUGAUAGGAUUCAGAGCUGGAACCAGAGAUAGCAGGUCAGGGCGGUAGGUUUGGUACUGAGGGGAGAAGGUUCAUUUGGGACAAAUUCACUGAGGCCUUGGGCAGAGUGAUAGUGCAUUUUUAUAGGGCAUCAACCCCUCACCUGUGAUGGGAGGGCAGAGGUUGGCAUGCAAUGGCACUUAUACAAGGGUAGAUUCCCUCCUUUCUGGAUGACUGUGAGGUGCACCUAGACUGUGGGUUAUGGGAGAUCCUGCCAGCCCUGGAGUGCCUGGGGCCACUGGGGCAGGGCCACAAUGCUUUCCCUGUGGGCGCCCUGGGCUUGGUGACCUCCAGAGUCAAUGUUAGUCAGGCCAUUGUUGGGCCAGUUGUGUUUGUUAAAGCUCUUUAAAACAACAUGCACAAUCACAGGCCUGUCCCACAACUGGAUUCAUGACUCUGAAAGGGUUUCUUGUCCAGGCAGAACCCCCUAGAAGGCUGGGGGCAGGGACGGGGCCGCCCCUUGCUUUCCCCAGUCUGGCUGCCAGCCCCGCGACUGCAGCUGGCACUGGCUGUGAGGCUGGGCCUGUGAGAGGCUCCGAGCAGCGGAACAACACAGUCCUUGAAGCCCAUCGAGACUCAAGUUGGCUGUGGGGGUGGAGGACAAAUGGGGAAUUAUCCUGAGGCUUCCCUGCCCUCUGCUUUGCCAAGGGUUCAUAGUGGACUUGCUGGGAGGCACAAGGGCAGGGGCUAGGAGAGUCCAGCUGUUACAAACCCAGGGGCUCCUCUGCCUAGAAACCCCUUUCUAACCAGGCCAGCACAACCAGCUGCAGACAAUAGUGGCAAAGCAGCCAGCAUCCCUGCUUGGGCACUCCUCACCAUGCAAGGGAGGGAGGAGCUGUGCUGGGGCAGGCCCUGCUCUCCACACCUGGGCAGGCAGGGCUGGGGAUAUUAAUAUGAGUUAUCUGAGUGUUUUCAUGCCAAAUGCUGUGCUCAGCACUGUGCUUAUCUUACAAAAAUUAACCCACGAGAUAGACGCAGCCAGUAUAGCAAGGCGGUGUCCAGGGUCGCAUGGCCAGUAAGUGCAGGGCCAGGAUGUGAUCCCAGCUCUGUCCAACUCGCAUGGGAGCUCUUCACCAAGACAGGACUUGCAGGACUCAGAAGAUGGACGCACUGUGUAACUGUGAGCCCACUGCUUCACCUCUCUGAGCUGCAGGUGGCUUCAUCUUGAGCUGGGCUCCUGCUGGGUUGGGAGAACACCCCCGACACCCAGGACCUACAGAGUGGGGCCUUCCCCUGCCUGGGAUGCCUAUCCUUCCCCUGGACCUGCUGCCCCUGAGGCCCAAAUCCCAGCUCUCUACUGCCUCUUAUUCGCCUCUCUCCACUGUGGCCCCCAUUUCCUGGCAACUCUGACGGAGAGUAUGGUAGGCCGAAUAAUGAUCCCCCAAACAUAUCCCAUCCUAAUCCUUGGAACCCAUGAAUGUUACCUUAUAUGGCGAAAAAGAACUUGGCAGAUGCGAUGGACUUGAACACCUAGAGAUGGGAAGAUUAUGCCAUCCUAAGUGCCCUUACAGGAAGGAGUCAGAGGGAGAUUCCCCAACCAGAGAGAAGAGGAGAAGGUGAUGUGAAGAUGGAGACAGAAACUGGAGUUUUGUGGCCAGAAGCCAAGGAUGCACCAGACGCUGGAAGAGGCAAAGAAAGAUUGUCUGCUAGAGCCUCUGGAGAGAGUGUGGGGCUGCCAAUGCCUUGACUGCAGCCCAGUGAUACUGAUUUUCAACUUCCAACCUCCAGAACGAUGAGAGAGUACAUUUCUGGGGCUGGGACUGUUUAUCUUUUAGCUUUAAAAAAUUGUGUAAAAAUACAUAUCACAUAAAAUUUACCAUUCUCACCCUCUUAAAAUAUACAGUUUGGUGGCAUUGGUGCAUUUACGUUGUUGUGCACCCAUCAACACUAUCCAUCUCCAGACUUUUUUCAUUAUCCCAAACUUAAACUCUAUAUUCAUGAAAAUAAAUCAUCCAUCCUCCCCUCCUCACUGGACCCUGGUAACCACUAU
rnacentral:lncRNA from 10 species